rnacentral:rRNA from 1 species
GUGGGGAAUUUUGGACAAUGGGCGCAAGCCUGAUCCAGCAAUGCCGCGUGUGUGAAGAAGGCCUUCGGGUUGUAAAGCACUUUUGUCCGGAAAGAAAUCUCCUGGGUUAAUACCUCGGGGGAUAACGGUACCGGCAGAAUAAGCACCGGCUAACUACGUGCCAGCAGCCGCGGUAAUACGUAGGGUGCGAGCGUUAAUCGGAAUUACUGGGCGUAAAGCGUGCGCAGGCGGCUAUGCAAGACAGAUGUGAAAUCCCCGGGGUCAAACUGGGAACUGCAUUUGGGACUGCAUGGCUAGAGUGCGUCAGAGGGAGGUGGAAUUCCGCGUGUAGCAGUGAAAUGCGUAGAGAUGCGGAGGAACACCGAUGGCGAAGGCAGCCUCCUGGGAUGACACUGACGCUCAUGCACGAAAGCGUGGGGAGCAAACAGGAUUAGAUACCCCAGUAGUCC